rnacentral:lncRNA from 1 species
UGCGCACCAGACAUCAUGACCACCGCUCUCGAUAUAAGAAGGUUACCACUCCCAACAUUCUAUUUGUUGAUACCCUCUGAUCCACACAAACUGUUCAGUGAGUCUCGCUCGUUCUUUAACCUAAGUUAAUCUGGUGCCUGCUAAUGUUUUUUAUCCCACCAAUCAGUGGUGCCUUCGCUUACAAGUUGCAUGUAUGCAGGAUUUUUAUUGAGAACUUAUACCAUGUUGCUGCUCUUUUGUUGCUGAUCCGAGACAUUAGGUGGGUUCCUCCUCAUAAGGUGCGUGUUCGGUUCAUCAAUCUCCUUCUAUCCUACAACAAAGUAGACAUUAACCUAGCCAACAUUGUCUAUUGGUGACAGAAAGAACUCCAGCAUCCCUUGAAUUUGAGAAAGACAAUUUAAGUUGUUGAAAUAGAAAUAUUGAUGACAAGUCUUGUAUGGUUUAGUUGUGUCUUUUAACUCGAUACUAAACUUUCAUAUUUGUCCAUUGAAGUAUGCUCAUCAUGUUUCCAGACUUUUUUAUAAUUAUAAUGGUUAUACUCUCAUGAUUAUUUAGAUAAUUAUCUCAUACUAUUUAUUUUCAUUAUAAAAAAGGGGAAUCAUUUCUUAGUCCAAUGUUUGCUUGUAUGUUCAUGUUCUGUAGCAUGAUUUCUUUUUUGUGCCAUAAAAAUUCCCCAUUAUAUAAUGUUUAGUAUUCGCUAAAUAAUGACUUGAAAACAAUAUGUUGCAGUUCAGUAGAAUAUGUAUGUCCACAAUUAUUCAACUAAUGUGUGUUGAACAUUUAAAUGAUCCUAAACACCAUUCUUCAUCUUUUGGAAUGUGUUCUCUAUCGAGACACAUGUCCUGAGAAAUACAAAACCCAUUUUCUAUAUAUAGUUCACCUUCAUAUUUUCUUCUAAUGUUUAUUUUUUGUUCUUAGGAAGGACCCCUUUGGUUGGCAGUUUUCCCUAAAGGCACUGAUUUUACGUAAGAUAUCUUCCCAUUCUUUCUUGCCACAUGUUUGGGUUUGAGUUAUGCUCCUCUAGAAGAAUAUAUUAAAUCAUUCAUCUUCAUAGUUACGACUUCUUGUGGGGAAUAACAAACAACUUAUAUUUCAGAGUCCAAACUUUUGGUUUCUUGUAGUUCUGCUCUGUCGACAGACCCUAAUAAAGUUAGCCUUGUUUUGAUGUUGUUAUGUUUACAUGAUUAAUGUCAUAUUUAGCUACCGCUGGCUUUGUUCUUUUAGAAGCUAUAGGAUUGAAGAAUUCAGAACCUUGGGGCAAUCUUUUUUUGGUAUUUCUAUAGUCUACCCAAGCUGUUCAUAAUCAACAUGCAGAAAGAUGCAUCAACAUGUCAAGUUUGGUUAUACACUUUAACUUGCAAGGGAAUCCAACACUCCUAAAUUUGGUUCUUUUUUAGAGCACCAUUCCAAUGUCAACCCAUGAUAGGCACAAUCUUCUGCAACCAGUUAUCCAAGUAAACAAAAGCACAGGUUCCAGAAGAUAGCAAACAUUAUCGAGGAAUCCAAUAGUUUAAAUCAUUGUUCUAUAUUUUAUGUUAUAAUUGAUAUUUAAAUAUUUGAUGUGACACCAGCUAAACUUUAUUGAGGAGAACCAAACACCCUUGACUUAAUCUGGUAGUUUAAAUAUCCAAGUAAACCCAUAAAAAGCACAAUCUUCACCACCAAUAGUUUCACUGUUCUAUUUCCCAAACUGAAUUGAAUACAACCGAGCUCUGUUUGUUUGUUUGUUCAUUUGUUUUUUCACAACGACGAAUCAGAAUUUCAAUUCGUUAACACGGGUAAUGUUGAUGAAAUCAAAGAAUCAGAAGUUGUAACGAUUUAGUGCCCAACCUCAAAUGUCAUUGUUCAUGUCAUUGUGUUUCACCUUCUUGUGCAUGUCAUCGUCAUCAUCUUCGUCAUCAUGCAUGUACUUCAUUCAUCCAAACACUGAUAACCAAUUGGAUUCUUUACGUUGUCCAUGAAUAAUAUAGUAUGUUUGAUAGAGUCAAUUGAUAUUAUCUGCUUACAAUUUUGUUUUCUCAGAGUUAAUUCCAAGCAGUGUAGACUCCCAAGCAUUAGGGUUGCCUUUUCUUCUUCUGCCCAUAGGUAUGGAGCAUCUAUUUUUACAACCUUGUGUUGCUUCUAGUUUAUUGUCUUUCCAUGAAUUAUGUCUAGCUUUGAACUUGGGAAAAUUGCGGGUAUUUGUUGUAUAUAAAUGUAGCACUCAUACAACUUAAUGAGCACCUAAUGGUAAUAGGGUGUCCACUUAAAUGAAAACUAUCCACUUAACAAGGUAUAUAUUGUCGGAUUCCCUUGCAAGUUAAAGUGUAUAACCAAACUUGACAUGCUGAUGCAUCUUUCUGCAUGUUGAUUAUGAACAGCUUGGGUAGACUACAGAAAUACCAAAAAAGAUUGUCCCCUAGCUUCUGAAUUCUUCAAUCAUAUAGCCUCUAAAACAACAAAGCCAGGGGUAGCUAAAUAGGAUACUAAUCAUGUAAACCUGACAGCAUCAAAACAAGGCUAACUUUAUUAGGGUCUGUCGACAGAGCAGAACUACAAGAAACCAAAAGUUUGGACUCUGAAAUAUAAGUUGUUUGUUAUUCCCCAUAAGAAGUCGUAACUAUGGAGGUGAAUGAUUUAAGGUGAAUGAUUUAAUAUAUUCUUCUAAAGCAGCAGAACCCAGACCCAAACAUGUGGCAAGAAAGAAUGGAAAGAUAUCUUACGUAAAAUCACUGCCUUUAGGAAAAACUGCCAACCAAAGGGGUCCUUCCUAAAAAAUAAACAUUAGAAUAAAAGUUGAAGGUAAACUAUACAUAGAAAAUGGUUUUUUAUUUCUCAUUACAUGUAUCUAGGUAAAGAACAUAUUCCAAAAUAUAAAGAAUGGUGUCUGGGGAUCAUUUAAAUGUUGAACACACAUUAGUUGAAUAAUUGUUGACAUACAUCAUAUUCUAUAGAACUACGACAUAUUGUUUCCAAGUCAUUAUUUAACAAAUACUAAAUAUUAUAUAAUGGGGAAUUUUAUGGCACAAAAAAUAAGAAAUAAUGCUACAUAACUUGAACAUACAAGCAGAUAUAUAGUGGACUAAGAAAUUAUUCCCUUUUUCUAAAUAAAAUAAAUAGUAUGAGAUAAUUAACUAAUUAAGCAAGUGAGUAUAACCAUUAUAAUUACAAAAAAGAAGUCUGGAAACAUGAUGAGUAUACUUCAAUGGACAAAUUUGAAAGUUUAGUAUUGGGUUAAAAGACAACGAAACCACACAAGACUUGUCAUCAGUAUUUUCAUUUUGACAAAUUAAACUGUCUUUCUCAAAUUCAAGGGUUGCAGAGUUCUUUCUAUCACCAAUAGACAAUGUUGGCCAAGAUUAAUGUCUACUAUGAUGUAGGGUAGAAAGAGAUUGAUGACCCGAAUAUGCACCUUAUGAGGAGGAACCCACCUAAUGUCUCGGAUCAGCAACAAAACAGCAACAACAAGGUACAUGUUCUCAACAAAAGUCCUGUAUAUAGGCAACUUAUAAGUGAAGGCACCACUAAUUGGUGGGAGAAAACAUUAGCUGACACCCAGAUUAACUCAGGGUAAAGCACGAGCGAGACUCAUCUGAUGGUCUAUGUGAAUCGGAGGGUCUCAACAAAUAGGAUGUUGGAAGCGGUAACCUUCUUACACCAAGAGCGGUGGUAGCGGUGCGUGGAGCGUAGGUGGGCACGGAUGCGAGUGUGUCAUGCGGAGCGUGGUUGGCGGGCGUGUCUUGCGGGCACAACAUGCGUGGAUCGCAGACGAGCGAGGAUGGCAGACGCGUCAUGAGGAUAGCGCAGGAAAUCGCGACAUGCGGAGAGCACGGGCGUCCACAGAUGAAGCGCGGCGAGGAUGGAAGGGGGCGUAGAUGGUGGCAUGGGAGGAGGAUGGAAGGGGGACACGAAUGACGAGGGCACCGAGGAUGGGAGCAAGGGGCGACACCGAGGACAGGAAGGAUGCGAGGAGGACGAGGGCGGGGUCAUGGGCUCGCCUGUGCAUGACUCCCUUGGCCUCUAAAUAAUAGUAGAGAUAGAGACUAGGUAUGUGCCCCAUGUGUUGCCACAUGAAUUAAAAAAUAGUAUAAAAUAUAGAUAUAUAACGACAAACAUCACUACAAUAUGCAAUUUUUGUGGCAAAAGAUCACCUUAACAAUAAUAUUAUAAUGACGAUAUAAAUAUGUAAUAUUUAUUAUAAAUACGUUAACUCAAAUAGAAUGAAUUGGUGUCGAAUAAACAUUAUAAUAUCGC